CAUUAGGUUGGUGCAAACGUAAUUGCGGUUUUUGCCAUUGAAAGUAAUGGCAAAAACAGCAAUUACGUUUGCACCAACCUAGUA
rfam:Pan troglodytes isolate Yerkes chimp pedigree #C0471 (Clint) chromosome 4, whole genome shotgun sequence.